UAACAUUACGCGGCGACGUUUUACAAGAUGGUUACUUAAGUAACUUGGUUAAGCCGAGGUAAGGCGAUUGGAAUUGCCGCAGUUCUAAGUCUGCCUCGGUUUUGCUAG
rnacentral:sRNA from 12 species